rnacentral:rRNA from 1 species
UAGGGAAUAUUGGUCAAUGGGCGGAAGCCUGAACCAGCCAUGCCGCGUGCGGGAAGAAGGCCCUCUGGGUUGUAAACCGCUUUUGGGAGGGGACAAAAAGGCCGUGCGCGGCAAAUUGCGUGUACCUCCAGAAUAAGCACCGGCUAACUCCGUGCCAGCAGCCGCGGUAAUACGGAGGGUGCGAGCGUUGUCCGGAUUUAUUGGGUUUAAAGGGUGCGUAGGCGGGGCCGUAAGUCAGCGGUGAAAACCAGGGGCUCAACUCCUGGCGUGCCGUUGAUACUGCGGCCCUUGAGUCGGCGGUGGGCAGGCGGAAUGGAAGGUGUAGCGGUGAAAUGCAUAGAUAUCUACCAGAACGCCGAUAGCGAAGGCAGCCUGCUGUCGCCGUACUGACGCUGAGGCA